GUCCCCGUCAUCUACUUCACUCUCCUCUCCCUCGGCAUCGUCGUGUCCCCGGCGAACCCCCUGAGCUCCGCCUCCGAGACCCGCCACCUGGUCGGGCUCAGCAAGCCCGUCCUCGCUUUCGUCACCUCCCAAGCAGCUCACAAGCUGCCUACGCUCAGGCACGGCACCAUCCUCAUCGACUCGCCCGAGUUCGAGUCCGUUUUGACCCGGAGCGGCCUGAAGGAGACCGAUCCCGUUCUCCGCAAUGUCAACCGGGUCACGCAGGUCGACCCCGCGACGAUUCUCUACUCUUCGGGUACGACGGGCCGGGUCAAGGGCGUACUCAUGACCCACGGAAACAUGAUCGCGGGGGUCGCCGGCGCUCGCCAACCCGAGCCAGGCCCAAAGCCCGUUUGGCUGUUUCCGCUUCCCCUGUUCCACGUGUAUGGUUUUGCGUCGAUAUUGAGAGCCUUUGGGAUGGGGGCGACCGUGGUUUUGAUGGGCAAGUUCGAGUUUGAGGCCAUGCUGAAGGCCGUGGAGAAGUAUAGAGUCGGCUUGUUGCCGGUGUCGCCGCCGGUCGUGCUAGCGUUGGUGAAGUCGGAGCUGAUCGGGAAGUAUGACCUCAGCUCACUCCACACCGUCAUGUGCGGCGGAGCGCCGCUUGGGAAGGAGGUUUCCCAGCGGUUCCAGCAGCAAUUCCCUAACGUGGAGCUGGUGCAGGUAAAAUGCCAUUAGUGUUAAAAGAUAUUAAAAUAAGCAUAACUUCCAUAUUUUGUAAUUUAUUUGGCCAAAAAAAUAGUUAGCCCUUUAAUUUUAGGAUUAAUACAAAAAAAAAACUUUAAAGUAAUGCAUCUGUUACAAAUUUACCAUAAAAUAAUUUUUUGACCACAAAAAAUCCGAAAUUGGUAUAUUUGUGAUAUUAAUUUUCAUUAUAUUUUAUUGUCAAAUUAUUGAGUUAGAUGACAUGUAACAAUUGACGAGUAUGUCGGUUUUGGAUUUUUUCCUCCGAUCCUAGUUUGUGGUGUUUAGUUAUAUUAAUUUAAUUUAACGGAAAUUAAUAGAUAACAAAUUUGUCACAAAUUUUUUGUAGGUAAAAAAUUAUUAUUUGGCAAAUUUUGUCACAAACAUAUAAGUUUGAAAUUUUUCGUGAUAUUAAUUCUUAAUUUUAAUCCCGAAAAAGAAAUGGCUGACUUCGAUGAAAAUAAAAACUGACCUAAAAUCACUGCUGGCUUUGGACAUCAUUGGUAAUCCAUAUAGAACACGAUACUUGUUUUCCUCCAUUUCAUGCUAUGUCAAGGUGACAAAGAUUAGUUUUUGCAUAUUUACUAAAUUGGUUUCAAUUCAGUCCAAAGGUGAAAUCCCUAUGCCAAAACUCAUGAGAUAUGUAAGGAAUUACCGGUAUUAUUAAUGUACAGGUAAAAACCAAACUAAAGUCUUAAGCCCCAAAUCAUUUAGUACUAGACCAAUUACUUACAUGCCAAAAUGCUUGGGCAUGAUUUCUUUAUUUAUUUAAGUACGACUUUUUAACUAUGUGGCACUCAAUAACUUUUUUUUUCCAAUUACUUGAGUGUAAUAUUACUUUUCAAUUGAUUAUUUGAGUGCAAAAAAUUCUUAAAAACGUUCACCACAAGUGUUAUGCCAUGUUAGAUUUCUAGAAUUUGGGUGAAUGUUUUUAAGAAGUUUUGGUAGUGAUCAAAUGAAAGUUAUGGUACAUAAGUGAAUGUUUUUCUUUUUAAAGUUAUCACACUUGAGUGGUCGAAAAAAAAGUUAUGACACUUAAGUGAGUCUCAUUUGAAAAUUAUGGUACUUAUAGUGUUCUUAUCCCGCCAAUGAGUGAUGAGCACUACCUAACCGAUUGCAUUAUAUGACCUCAAUUUGAAAUUACCCAACGACGGAUCUUAAGAUAAAAUUGUUGCAUCAGAUAUAUUAAAUCAACAAUCACUCAAUGCAUUACGUUCAUUGAAUUACACUAUAACUCAAUUUGGUAUUCAUAGGCUUACCCCCAUAGGUACCGCAUCCGUACCAUGACAGUGCUGUGCUAGAAAUUUGGAUGACGACGACAUGAAAGAAUUGAAGAACAUGAGGAAGUAGAUACGGGCACAUAGUUUUGAGUUGAUGGAUGCAAAAGAUCAAUAGAUGUAAAUGACUAAUGGCUUUUUCUACAUCGACAUGUCCAAAUGAACUUUUCAGAGUUAUGCAUUGACAGAGAGCCUCUUAGGAAGUAGGAUGAUGGGGCCUGAUGAGACCAAGCAAUACGGCUCCAUUGGUCGCCUUGCCGAGUAUAUGGAAGCCAAAAUAGUCGAUCCUGUUACUGGAGAUCCUGUUACUGGAGAAGCUCUACCUCCUGGCUGCAAAGGCGAAUUGUGGCUGCGUGGCCCAGCCAUCAUGAAAGGUCGAUAGUCAUACCACAAUCUCUCAUCCUGGAUUGCUUUCCUUCUGGAAUCUGUGAAUAAAACCUAUCUGGAGAUCUGUUGCACAUUUUGUUCAAGCACCAUAAAGUUAGGAAAUGCCCAGUCUUUCUAUUGAAACACUGACUCGCUUACAAAAAUUGCAGCACAAAAUUAGAUAUCCCGGUUUCCUCGGACAUCGUCAAUUACUACGCUGCUUCCUGCAUAAGGAUUUCUCAUUUCACUGCUGGAACUCCUCUUUGAGCUUCACGUAUCACUUGUGAAACUCAGAUGUUCUGAAUCUCUCUGAUUCCAUUUAGGUUAUGUUGGAGAUGAAAAGGCGACGGCUGAGACAUUGGAUCCUGACGGUUGGCUAAAAACUGGCGAUCUUUGUUACUUUGACUCGGAGGGGUUCCUCUACAUUGUAGAUAGGCUAAAGGAAUUGAUAAAAUACAAGGCAUAUCAGGUAGCUUCUGUCGUAAGGAAUCUUUUGCUGGUGAAAUCUGAUGCUUUGCAUUUUUCCCUAAUCAGAUUUUGUCAUCUCAAUCUCAUUCCUACAGGUUCCACCUGCUGAAUCGGAGCAUUUACUUCAAUCUUAUCAACAAAUUGCAGAAGCUGCAGUUAUACCGUAUGCUCCAGUGCUUGUCUUAUGACCUUUAUAGAUGCAUUGAGAGUUUUUUUUUUGGGGUCAAACAUGGAUGCAUAGAGUUUUCAUGAGCAAAAAGUCUCAUUUUAUUUUUAUUUACCAUUCACUGACCUUUUAAUUACUUGGAGGACAUGCAAAGUAUUGGUGAGUCGAUGUUUAAAAGGUCGAGAGUUAUCCUACCAUUGUGUGGAAUGAUGAUUGACAGAAGAUGUACUAUUGCGAUCGCAUUUACUUUUGAGGCAAAUCUUUAUCUGCUUAUAAUGGACUCGUCGAACUUUGGUGUGUUGUGAAAUCCAUAAAUGUGCUUUCUUUUUGGCUAAGUGGCUCAUUGCGUAAGAAACCAACGAGACUAAUCCAAGUGUAUUGUUUGGGAUCAGGUAUCCUGAUGAAGAGGCAGGGCAGGUUCCAAUGGCUUUCGUGGUGAGGAAGCCUGGUGCAUGCGUUACAGAAUCUGAAAUCAUGGAUUUCAUUGCUGAACAGGUAUGGUCCUCCUGGAUUCAUCUGUUUUGGAAGACUCUUCUUCAGUUUUUAGAUUUUCCCAGGGAAAUAGAGGAGUUGAUGUCCUGAAGAUACUAAAUGCAAACGCUGAGGCACCUAUUCAUUGGCUAUGAGAAAAACUGACUUUAUUUUUCUCGAUAUCAUAGGGGACACUAUUUGAUUCCCAAUCACCGACUUGCUAGGCACCUGGUGUUCUUAACAGCAUGCAGGGCGAUUGGUCGAGUACCCCAACGAGUCUUAAUAUCGCCUAUGAAAGCAUCUGCUCCAACCCUUGUUCUAGUCCAUGCUGCUAAUGUUCUUCUUUCCUCCCCUUUAACCCCAAUUUGUCACUUAACAUUUCGGCGAGCUGUCAGUGCUACUAGAUCUAUCCAACAAAAUGGGCGUGGUCGUUUGUACUAUACCUUUGUUUCACUUGCUAUAGCUUACUUGGGUAACAUAGCUCAAUCAGAAAACUUGUUCCAUUUAAGUAGCACAGAGCGAAUUUGCAGUGUGUUCAGCCUGGUCCAAACCCAUAGACAACCCUACUCUAUUCUCUGAUUACGUUAAACUGGAUUGGCAGGUCGCUCCAUACAAGAAGAUAAGGCGUGUCGCUUUUAUCAGUAGCAUCCCCACAAAUUCUGCGGGAAAGAUCUUGAGAAGGGAGCUCAUCAAUCAUGCUUUAUCUGCUGGUUCAGCUAGAUUGUAAAUCUUUGACCAGGAAAAGAAGUCCGAUUCUACUUUUAAGUAAAACAGGCCAUUGUUAUCAGUUCUCUGUAUUUGGCAAUUUGCUGCUCUAUGGUAUUAAUGUUGUACUUGUUUUUGGAAGUGAUUCACCAUUCCUUACCAAAGACAGAUAAACCCGGCGAAAUGUGUAAUCCCAACUGAAUCUUAUACCAGUUCUUUAGAGAAACCGUGCUUGUUAAUACUGGUCUAAAGUGGUUGAGUUCAAUUCCCCACUUGGGUCCUUAUAUUCUUGUGUCGUGUUUUGUCAUUGUUUUUUUGAUGAAAUAUGCCAUUAUCAUCACCCUCUGCGUUUGGUGCUCCAUGGGAUGCAAGAUUUAGUACCAGUGGUUGGAAAUGAUUGAUCAUUCCUAGCAGAAGACACGUUACAAAUCCAAAAUUCAGGGCAGCCCCUUGUGAUAUGUGUACAUGGCUGUGUAAGUGUCUAGUCUCUCUUGCCCCUGGCUCUGAUUUUAUUUUGCUCAUUCCCUCCUAUUGAAAUGCGAUGUUGAUCUAGGAAACUUGUCGUUUAUAAAUGCGAGUUGAGUUUUAGAUCACAUCAAGCGAUAGUGGAAUAUUUCAACAACGCUGAUAAACAAUAAUACCUAAUGAUUUUAGUUGUCUAAAUGGUCGAGCUCGAGUCGCUUUAGAUGCAAAGGUUGGUCAUAUUGUGUUUCCGAGUUAAAUAAUCAGUUUCCUCGGCCCAACCUGCCACCACAGCGUUCAGCUAAAUGGGUACUAAAUUUCCUUGUGCUUGGACAAGGCAGGAGCAUACACACAAGCAUUCAUGUCACGACUCUGAAGUCAAAACUGAUUGUAGGCGGUCCUCUAUGUGAACUUGACUCAUUUUCAAAUUGUAGAGUCCUAAAAUAUUUGGCUCAAUGUUCAAUCAAAUUCUAAAUGUUCAAAUUUAUUCAAUCAUGUUCUAAAUAUUUUGAAUUUACAUAGUAAUUAGCAACCUAUAUUAAAUCUUCUGAGAACUUUACUUUGAAUUUUAUUAUGACAAGUCAAAUUGCUGCAACAAGACUCUGUUUGCAAGUUACAAAAAGUAAGGAUGAUUACAAAUUACAAUCGUCAAAAAGUAGUGCUUGCUUUAUUUACUAACGACAAUGGCAAUUACAGACCCGUAAAGGAAUAGUACUAUUUUUAAGGAAAAUGACUUCGUCUUUGGUAAACUAUUGUUUCUGAGGAAAAUUACUUCCUUCGGAAGGCACAUUUACUUUCAUUCUUUAUGACUUACAGGAAAAUUAUCCCCAUGAUGUUUACGAAAAUUUAGGUUAAUGGUUAAGUGAUUAGAAUUUUCACCUCACGCGAUCUGUAGUCAAAUUACUAUCCUCGACUGUAAUUGCUAACUACAAGUGUAACUAAACUAUGAGGAAUUUGAGAAAAAUUAUACCCCACGAAGGAGACCGAUGGAGCAAACUUACUACUUUUAAAUAAAAUUAGUUGCACUUAGAAAACAUGUUACUAAUUUUCAUUUAUGAAAACUUAUAGGGAAAUUACUAUUACAAUUGUUGAGGAUGGUUGAGACAAUUUCAGAUUAAGUACUCGUAGCAAUUUUAAGUUAUGAAAUCAAUAGCCUAAUAGCUACUUGUAAAAGUUCUAAGUGCUAUUGAUUCAUUGCAUGUUCGGAGAAAUUGCGAUUUAUAGAAGUAAAAUUACUAACAUAAAGUGAAACUGACAUUUUCAUGUAUUAAAAAAGAGAAUGAGAAAAUGAGAGAAAAUUCAAAAUAUCGUGUAGACUUCUUGAGGGUUGAACGCAUACCCGAUCUAUCUUAUUAUCAUCUAUAUAGAUUAAUCAAAAGUCUUAUUUAGCACUAUCGUUGAAUUUUUUUCUCAUGAUUCAAUGUUUGAAAUGCAUCAAAGGAAGGACCUAAUAAUCGAGCGAUGUUGAAUAAAAUAAUAUUGAUUUACAAAAUUAAUAUGUUAAAUGAUAUGAAAUGUAAAUAGUCGUUUAGAUAAUUAGGUCAUGUAUAAUAUCAAUACCACGUAGCAUUUCUUUCACAAUAAAUGCUUGAGUUGUUUGGCACAUCAAUUAAAAUCCUUUCAUAAUGAAAGGAAAAACAACAUAAAUUAUCUUUGAACUUUGACUCAAUGCGUAAUGUUAUCUCUAAAUUUUUAAUUUGUUCAACAUGAUCGCCAAACUCUAAUCUAAUGUGCAAUGUCAUCCCUAAACAUUUAAAUUAUGUAAUGUGCUACUUGAAAUUUUUGUAUAUGUUCAAUUUACUCCUUGAAUUAUAUGAAAAUAUUUAGUGUUGUCUUUAAAUCAUAUGAAAAUAUUCAGGGAUUAUAUUGAACAUUUAUUAAAAAUUCGGACUACAUUGAACAAAUUAAAAGAUCAGGAUAAUAUUGCACAUUUGACUAAUAUUUAGAGAUUAUAUUGAAUAAAUUCAAAAUUUAGCAUCACGUGAAAUUAUUUGUGUAAUUAUUAUGCCUGACGAAAACUCAAAUCAUUAGGAACAUCAAUUAAGCAUGUGCACGUUUUCCCACCUAGAAGCUCCUGUGCUUCACUUUGACUCUCUCUUUCUCUCUCUCUCUUCCCCUUUGUGCUUUCUUUGCAUUCAUCAAUGGCGUCAAUGCAGAUGGAGGAGAACCCUAGCCAUCAUGUGAAAUCAAGGGCCACAUUCUUGAUACGCUUCUACUUGGAUCAAGCUUCAUUCAAUCUCUCUCUCUACAUCGAGUAAUUCUCGUCACUUUUUUUUUCGAUUUGAUAAUUCGAAAAAAGUUUUGAAUCUCUACUUUCCUCGUUCUCUUUUUCAGAUUUACAGAGCUUUUGGAUUGCCAUCGUCAUAUCCCAACUUAAUAAAAAUAAAGGCAUGAAUACGGUAUCAACAUAACCAAAAUUUAAUUUGAUAUUAAUAUAUAUAUAUAACAAAAACGACAUUUGGUUACUAGAGUUUACUUGCAAACUCUGAUAUAGUAAACUUAUCAACUAUAAACUGCAGAAUCAAUAUAUAAUGCCCUCAUCAAAAGCAAACUCUGAUAUAGUAAACUUAUCAACUAUAAACUGCAUAAUCAAUAUAUACACGCCUUCAUCAAAAAUUAACUCGCAAACCUAUCAACUAUAUACUCAUGCCAAAAAUCCCCACCACAAAAAAGUCAACUAUAAACCGCACAAUCAAUAUACACUCCUCCUCCUCCUCCUUGCCGUUCCUCGUCGACGCCGCCACCGGCCACCGGAUCACCUACCCGCGCUUCCUCUCGCAAUGCCGCGCCCUCUCUGCCUUCCUCGCGAGCCGCUUCCCUUCCCUCUCCAAGAACGACGUCGCCCUCGUCCUCCCUUCUCCUUCCCUCCACGUCCCCGUCAUCUACUUCACUCUCCUCUCCCUCCGCAUCGUCGUGUCCCCCGCGAACCCCGCUGAGCUCCGCCUCCGAGAUCCACCACCUGGUCGGGCUCAGCCAGCCCGUCCUCGCUUUCGUCACCUCCCAAGCAGCUCACAAGCUGCCUACGCUCAGGCACGGCACCAUCCUCAUCGACUCGCCCCAGUUCGAGUCCGUUUUGUCCCGGACCGGACUGAAGGAGACCGAUCCCGUUCUCCGCAAUGUCAACCGGGUCACGCAGGCCGACCCCGCGACGAUUCUCUACUCUUCGGGCACGACAGGCCGGGUCAAGGGCGUCCUCAUGACCCACGGAAACAUGAUCGCGGGGCUUGCCAGCGCUCGCCAAGCCGAGCCAGGCGCGAAGCCCGUUUUGCUGUUUCCACUUCCCCUGUUCCACGUGUAUGGCUUUGCGGGGAUAUUGAAGGCCUUUGGGAUAGGGGCGACCGUGGUUUUGAUGGGGAAGUUCGAGCUUGAGGCCAUGCUGAAGGCCGUGG
rnacentral:lncRNA from 1 species